GGAAAUCCCGCAAGCUGCUGCGCUGUUCCGGCCCAGUCUCUGAGGUCAGGUUCAAAACUCGAUGUCUAAGGUCCUCCAUUCUGAUUUUAAAUUUAUCUCCCAAAUUUCUCUUAUUCCAGAUUAGGGCCUUGGUGACAGCCUCCUGCACACGAUCAGUGGGCUGGCCCUGGCGGUAUUCAUCAUCCAAAUAUUCCAGACUGUUUUGCUCGCGGAGACCGCUUGCCGAACUCUUCCCGACUGGGCAACGAUUUUCCAGUUUCGCUAUCUCUGUAGCUUCUUCAGGGAAAGAGAUCUAAUUCUCAUCGGUUAGGGUUUUUAAGGGGUAGGUUGAUGUUCCUCCCUUUCUGGGUGGAGCUUCCCAUGUGCUCGGUCCUAGGACCGGUCACUUUGGUUGGGCUCUACCUGUUCUUUGUUUGGACUGGUCGGUCCACUUCCAUUGUUUGUAAUGUUACCAAAUGUAUCUGGUAUCUUGUAUCAUUUGCUGCUAGUGUUUUCAGCCUCUCUUGAUCAAUAAAUGUCCAAAUUCCUCUUGUCCACUAUCAUGUUUUGCAAGUCCUUAAGUUAUGUAUGUGCUCUGCCAACCUGUUUGUAGUCUGUGUGGCGUCAAAGGCUCUUCUGGGUAGGGGGUCCUGGCUGGGAUAGGGGUGGGUAUGGUGUUGUGGACGUGUCAGGGU